rnacentral:lncRNA from 1 species
AAAAUUAAAAGUGGCAGUCUUACACGAUCUGAUCAUUACUUGCCCCAAACUCAAGGCAAAAGUUUACAAGGUAGUAGUACAUGAUUGAUGAUACAUAAGUUUUGCUCCAUAAAAAAAGGACCGAUUAGAACGCAUGUGAUUUUCACGAGGAAAACCACUUGAUUCGUAUGUACAGAAAAACGGUGGAAACCCCUGUAGACUGACCCGGCAAACAAGCAUCAUCAGUGCAUGGAUACUGGACCAAAAACACCAUAAGAAAUUAAAGAGAACGGAGCAAGCGAGCAAUCAGCCAGCUAGUACUAGUACAUAUAUAUUGUACAGCCGUGAUCUGGUCGGAGAUGAGACGAUGACCCGCCGGCGGCGGCCGGCCGGCGCGGCGGAGGCCCAUCGAUCGAUCACUUGGGCCCCCAAAGCAGCAGGUGCAUCACCUUGUCCGCCUUGCCGCCGCCGUCCGCCGCGCGCCGCCCCGCCGUUGCCGCCGGCGUGGCCGCGGCCGCGGCCGCGCGGGGUACCCGCAGCUGCUGGCCGGCGUCGCGCGCCAGCGCACGCAGCGUCGCCGGGAGCUCCCACCUGCUCUCGCGCCCGCUGCUCAUGGCGAAUCAACCACCGCUUUCUCCUUGGCCCUUCUUGCUAUGCUAUCUAGCUCGUGCUGCUCAUCCUCAGUCCGGUCUCUUCUCUCUCCCAGCCACCUCACCUAGCCUCUUAUACUGCCACUGCACUACUCCUGGUCAUGAGUCACACACAAUUUUACAUUUUAGCCUUUUAUGAACAUUUAUUUUAUAAAUAGAUCUUUAAAAAAAACUUAAUCUUUCCAUCCAGAAAUAUAAUAUGGUACUGAAUAUGACACAUUCCAGCAUCAUGACGAGUUUGGACAGAUAUCUUACAACUAAAAUAUAUCCAAUACUACCUUCAUUCUAAAAUGUAGCUAUUUCUAGCACAGUACUUUGUCCCAAAAUGAAGCUAUUUUUCUACCUACCUUCCCCUCUCAACCAAUCACAACCAUUCUUUUUCACCUACUUUCUCUUUUCAACCAAUCACACACCUUCUUCAAUUAUUCUCACAUACUUUCUUAAUACCCGUGCUAACCUCAAAAAUACUUACAUUUUGGGACGGAGGAAGUAUGAUACAAGAUUGCUAUAUCAUGUAACAGAUGAAAUAUUCUGUCACCGAGCUACAGGUUUGAAUAUAACAAUCUAAAGAUGAGAUACUAGUACUAUAUAGUUAGAAUAGACUCCUUUCCGCUCUCUCGGAGAGACUCAUAGCUCUAGUUCUACAUUUUUAUAAUAUGUAACGAAGAGAUUAAGUCCUUGGUUAGUUUGGGAAAAAUUUUAGAUUUGGUUGGUAUAUUGGAUAUACGGACACAUAUUUAAAGUAUGAAACAUAGUUUAAUAAUAAAACAAAUUACAGAUUUCGUCAGAAAACUGCGAGAUGAAUUCUUUAAGUCUAAUUAAUUCAUCAUUAGCAAAUAUUUACUGUAGCACCACAUUGUCAAAUCAUGGCGCAAUUAGGUUUAAAAGAUUCGUCUCGUAAUUUACACGUAAACUGUGUAAUUGGUUAGUUUUUAUCCACAUUUAAUAAUUCAUGCAUAUAUCUAAAUAUUCAAUGUGAUGGGUGAAAUUUUUUGUUUUGAGAGCUAAAAAGGGCCUAAGUUUUUUAAGGAUUUAUUUAUAAAAUAUGUUUUCAGAAAAUGGCUAGUGUGAAAAGCCCAGUCCUGAGUCACCUCCUGCAAACUGCAAUCAACAGGGGCAAUAAUAGUCAGCAAUAAAUAUCAGCCACCAUGAUUGAUGAACCCCUCCAAAAUCGAGUGGCCGAGAGAUACCCAAAGACGGGAUUUUUAUCCCGCACCCAACGCCUCGGCGCGGGAUCACCACGCGCUUGGCGAUCAGUGCGUACAGCGAUCGCGAUCGCCGGUGCGCGCGGGGGUGUAUAAUUUUCCACGGCGGCGAGGGGAGGGGAGGGGAGGUCGUGGAUGCGGCGAGGCGGGCGGUCGGUGUCGGGAAAGGGGCGUGGAGUAAUGCGCGUGUUUGAAAAACGGGGUCUCUCGACCAAUCCGGAAUGAACCAGUGGUUGGAUUUGGGCUCGUUCUUCCGGUAAAGGGCAUGUUAAGAGAAGUUUUUAACCAGCUGCAGGUUCUCUCGGAUUCUUUAGCUAUCCCAAAUAGUCCGCAUUAUUAUUUGGAUUCAGAUUCUGGUAAUAUAUAAUUGUAAAAUCUAAAAAAAUAAAAUAGAAACUGUAUUAAGCUGAAAAACCAAGUUUCUUCAGGUUAUAAGAAGCUGACUAUCAAACUAAGCUGGCUAUCAAACAGUAGAUUUAAGCUCCCUGAACAGGGUUUUUGUUGUGGUAGGGUUUUUGUUCCAUUGUUUGUUAUAUGUCACAUAAAUAGUUAGAAAAAUAACAAGUUAGAUUCAUACAAGAUAUAUCCGUUUAAAUUCAACUUCUAUAAGUUAUAAUAAAAAAACACAAAUAUAAUUGUGAAUUUACGUUAACUCGUUUGAAUUUAAUAUGUUCUUUUAGUUAUAACUUGAAGAAGUGAAAUUUAAAAUUGCAUUUUGUGAGACGAUAUAUCCCAUAUUAAUUUAUUUUAUAAUUUUUUUCUUAAAUUUUUCAGUGUCCAUUUUGAUGAGAUACAAUAAACAAGCAGAUGUUUGGAGUAGGGGUGGACAUUCGGUCUGACCGAAAAUUUCGGUCUCGGUCUUUGGUCUUUAAAAAGUAAAGAUCAAAUUUCAAUGCAAAAAUAUCAGGACCGACAAAUUCAGUCUCGGUCUCGGUCCUGACCCAAAUUCAACAACACUUUCAUAUACGCAAAGAAGCAAUGGAAAUUUUCAAUACAAAAAUCACAGAAAAAAUGUAAGCACUUAUGAGUAAAUACUCUUAUUAGGUUGUAUGCCUAGAAGAAGUAGGAUGCGAAAAAUAGAGUUUAAUCCUAUUGAACAUAGUGAUUGUAUGUUACAUUUAUACUUUUUUUUUUGUUAAUUCAGUCUUUUUGGUCUAUUCGGUGAGACUAACCGAAUUGACCAAAUAAAAUUCGGUUUUUCACUUUCUAGGAUUGAAUUUUUCGGUCUCGGUCUUUUUGGUUCGGUCUUUUUCUGACCACCGCUACUUGGAGGAUGAAAAUCCAUCUCCCGACACAAGUCCCAGCCAGGACGCACUAAGCACUGGAAACAGCUGUGGGAGCUGGAGUACCUUGUAGUCUCGUCCUUUGCUCUAUGCCUGCGGUGACAAUGUGAGGCUAUGAGCAGUAAGCUGGUGUAAAUAAUUGAGUUAGACAAGUCAAUAGAAAUUAGUAGAAUUAAGUAGUAGGAGUAAUGGUAUGUAUGCUUCCGGUCAUAAGGAUUUAACUUGUAAGAUAAAGGCUAAUCAAACUUUUCGUAAGAUCUUGACCAUUAGUAUUGCCGUAAACCUACUAUACUUACAAACUUUUUAAAACAUAUAAUUGUUGUUUAUAGUGUUUGACAAAAUGUCAUCCUAAACGUCAAAGCAACAACUUGUUUAUUUGGUUGACAAAACAGUCUAAAUGCCCUUCAAAACUUUGACCGAGGGUGCAUGUAGCCUCUUUUCUGGAUAAAUUAACAGGAUCUGCUUAUAUGUAGGAGAGUUCACUGGCCUGUUAGAGCCAAUGUGCUUGAGAUUGUUGAUGUGCUCCGUAUUGAAGAAGUGGUUUCGGAUGGUCCAAAAUGUAACAAAGAAAAACUUAUCUAAUCCAAAUUAAAAAGACUGAGUAAAUAAUAGUUCAAAAUAAAAUUUUAAAAAUAAAAGAUGAUCCAAAGUGUAAUUCGCUAAAAAGAAGAAGAAAUCAAGAGGAGAAGAAGAAAAGUACGUAUAAGAACCGCCAAACCUGGAUGCAUAUCACUACCAUUCAGGUAAUACCGCCUUCCUAACCUAUAUGUGUGUAAGUACGUACGUGCGUAAAAGAAAAGUAGAGAAACGCUCAAGGGUUUUCCGACUAGUUUCACAAGGUGGUGGACUAGACGACCUAGAUUCGAAGCCUUACCCAUUCUAAUUAUUUGACAUUAUGUCCUUCCCUAAUAUUCGACCUGAGUUCAAAGCCUCACAUCUUCUAAUUAUUUGAUAUUAUUAGGUCCUUCUAUAAUAUUCGACCUGGGUUCAAAGCCUCGCUCAUUCUAACUAUUUAAUAUUAGGUUCUUCCGUAAUAUUCGUGAUUUUUAAAAAGAAUAGUACGUUUUGAAGAAGAAGAAGAAGAGAGUAGUACUUAGGAACCACCAACGAUCCCCUCCUAUUCGUCCCUAGACUUCUCUCCUCUUUUUUCUCUCUAUUUAUUUUUAAAAAGUCUCCUCUCCUUUUUAUGGUGUAGUUGGCUCAGCAAUAACCAUAGCUGCUAAACUACAAAUUUAAUUUCUAAUUUAUUUCAAUAAUUGUAUUUCUCAUGAUUAAAUCAAUAAUUUAAGAUUAUGAAAAACAGAAAAUGAACCAACACUAUAGCUGUGUGUACAUCAUCCAAUUAGUCUAAAAAAUUCAAGAUAACUUUGCCAGAGUAGACGGCUAAAUUACCACAAUUCAGGACACAUGUAUGUUUUGAAAAAAAAUAGCUUGUAGAUCUAAUAAUUAGAGAAAUUUUAUAACUUCUAAGGGAAAAAAACAAAUAUUAACCAUUGGUUUUCACUUAAACCGGUGGACCUAUAGUUACCACUAGAUUAUGUAUCUAGGAAACAACCGGCUAAUCCCACCUUCUUAAUCCCAAUCCUGUACGUAAGUACAUAUUUAUGCGUGUAAAAGAAAAGUACAUACUUACGAAGUACUGCCAAACCCCAUUCCCGUGCAAUUCGUUCCGUUUGACUCCCCUGCUUUCUAUACGGCAUAGUUGGCUAGUCGGCUAUUUUCUCGAGUAAGUAUCUUCUUGAGUAGGUAAGAAAUAGCCAACUUUGCCAUAUAGAUAGGAAGGGAGUCAAAGCGAGCGAAUUAUUUGCAUUGGCACGGACUAUGGAUAAAGGCGUCGCGGGGUACACAAGGACGACGACGAACAAAAACGGAUUGUGACGAUCGGAAAAAAUGUGUAUCAUUCAAUUUUAAGAUGAAUUCCAAACUAAAAUUGGUAACUUGCUAAAGAUUCGAUGUAAAUUAUAUAAUACAAGAAAAUAAUAUUAUAUGACUUAACUAGGCUAGAAAAAAACUUAGUACUCUAUACAACAUAAUUUUAUCGUGGUAUUAACAUAUUCGUUAUAGUCAUCCAUGUGAGCGGUUUAAUAUAUACAACUAAAAUUGCCUUUCCCCAUUGCAACACACAAACUUUUUUCCUAGUCUUUUUUUUAUUAAUUUAGUAAAAUUUAUCUGAAAAAUGACUGCAUAUUAGUGUUUUGUAUAUAUAUUAGUGAUUUUAAAUGUUGAGGUUUGAUUUAUGGUACGUCUCAGAUAUACACAAUAUCGUAUUAAAGAGAGGGAUACGUGUGAGAUUACAUAGCUAUAAAUACGAUUUGGACCGUUCACCUACAAACUACUAUACUUCCACUAUUUGAUUGCAUGGCUCGGGAUAAUAAGGUUGAAGGACAACAAAUUGGCCUGUGAAACAACAGUUAAUUUGAGUUAAUUAAUCUUAGUAUUUUUAUUUUUAAAACGAAAUUAAUCUAGAUUUUUUAACCUAUAACAUGGCUAGCUAGUGACCAGCGACAAGCUUGAACGGAGUAUACAACCGCUUAGAGCAGGUACAAUGCUAUAAGCCACCUAUAAACACAUAUCGAGAAGAUAAAUGAUGAUAGAGAAGAUUUUUAUCAGUGAAAUAGUGAAUGACGCUAUGAUUAUACAUGUUAAAAAAAUAUGAAUUAUCAACUUCAAAUUAAAAAAAAAGAGCAUUGCCGAAACAUAAUUAGGAUGUGAGUCAAGGAUGAAAAUGAGUUGGAUUCGGACAACUAAUUGAUGUAUCAUAUUCUAUUCCACAGUAUCUUCAUGGAGAUUUAGACAAGGCACAGAUAAUAGAAGGUGUGAAUGUCCGAAACAUUAGUUUUUUAUAUAUAAGUUUUUUGAAAAACAAAUUAUCUAAUUUCAAGUUUAUAAUAAUUAAUAAUUAAUUAAUGAUACGCUAAUAAUUUGUCUCGUUUCAAGUGUUGGCUAAGAUCAAACCGAUGUCCCGAACGCAGCUUUUAGAUUCUGAACUCACGAGAGUCUUUAGGUUAAAAGUCAUGCUGUGGAGCUAUAGCCUAAACAAUAUCGCUAAAUAUCUUUUUUUUAAAAAAUAAUAUAUCCUACAAAUUCUCAAUCACCAAGUAUCCUACAAAAAAUCAAAAUGGUUCUACACUGAAACUGCAUUUUUCUACGUACCCUCACAUAACUGUGGUAAAAACAAAUUGAGAACAUAAAAUACCACACAAUCUACAUUCACACCAUAUGCCCUGAUACUUUUUGAACUUUGUUUUGGAAGCACUCUACUACUCGUCUACUGCAAAAGAUAAAGAAAGAAAAACAAAUAUAGCCUAGCCACAUAUGCUGAACUCAACUCACGUUAAAAACUAAAACAUUUGUCUUUUUCGUUUACCUAGAUUAUGUUUAAAUAUAAUUCUUGGUGGAAUAGUACAUGAUAGUAUAUUUACGUAAAACUCUAUUAUAAUUUUUCACGAUUAUCUUUACUACUUUAACCUCUCCUAUUAUCCAUAAAAAAAGAACCGGCACACUCAAAGGAGUGAAAAAUAUUAUUCUACAUCUUAUUGUAACGUAAGGAUAUGGUAUUAGUUUACAUUAGACCUUAUUCGUUCAAUCAAAAAAAAAUACCGAGGAUGAAAUUUUCACAUCAUAUAUGUGAAAUAAAUUCUACUUUCUUCAUUCUAAAAUGUUGCAAUAUAGAACGUGAUUUAAUGAUAAUAAAUCUGAAACAGGUUACUUCCUCCAUUCUAAAAUAUAAUAACUUUAAAAAACGGAACACAUUAUAAUACUCCAUCCGUCCCAAAAUAAGUGCAGCUAUGGUUUUCCGCGUCCAAUUUUGAUCGUUCGUCUUAUUUGAAAAAAUUUUGAAAAAAAAUUAAAAACAUAAGUCACGAGCAAAGUACUAUUCAUGUUUUAUCAUCUCAUAGCAAUAAAAAUGCUAAUUAUAAAAAAAAUUUAAAUAAGACGGAUGAUCAAAGUUAAGAGUGAAAACUCAUGACUGCACUUAUUUUGGGACGGAGGUAGUACUAGAGGUCACCCCGCGCGUUGCUGGGGAAAUUUAAGCAAUUACAAAUGUCAAAAUUUUGGAUGAAAUAUAAUCACCUUAAAAGGAAAAACCUAACCCAAUUUAUCACUGCGCGUGAGGAAUAUUUGUACAAAUAAAAAUAAUCUUCAACCGUACCAAGUUCAUAGCCUGCAAAUAAUAUUUUUCAAACGUAUGGCUUCGAUAUUGGUACCAUUAAUUGGAGGGAAACUCAACUGGCACUCCCUUCCACUCAUAUUAUACAAAACAAAUUAAGGGAAUAAGUAACAACAAAUUGCUAAAAGAAAUGUUGAUCCGCUGGAGCAUGAGCAUAUAUAUAGCGGCAAAAUAAACGCAGCAGCAUGGCUAACGGAAUGAAGGAUUGAUCGCAACGAUCAAGUAUAGCAACUGGACUCUGGACAGGAGGGCUUGUGGUCAGCAUGUCAAUCCACUGCGAUGGUGUUUUCAGAGGAAUCAGGAAUAAAGGCCGAGUAUUCACCUAAUUCAUUUAGCUAGAGGAUGGAAUAUAUGCAGUGCAAGUGCAGUGGAAGAUGGAAGGCCUGCUGCGUGAGCCAAUGAAUGAAUAUCCAACGUUUUGGUUUCAAUCAGGAGAUGACCCGUCAGGAACAAACGGUUUAACUGUUGAAUAGGCCCCUUUGUUAAUUACUGUCGUGCAUGAUGAUCGGAAUUAAAAAAAAAACGAAGAGGUGCAUCCCACUAUCGCUCUUUACACCCUCAUUUGCAAUCUAGCGGCUAGGUGGAAUCUAUCUGCAAUCCAACGGUCAGGUGGAAUAGAGGUGAUGUGGAUCACUCCUGGAGAAGGAAAUUAGUUUUAAUUGUAGUUAGUGGGAUGACCUAUAUAGAUAUAUAUAUAUAUAGGAUACUGUUCUUAUUCGCAAUAUUAAAAUAUAUUUCAAUUAUUUAAAAAUUGUUUAUAUUUCUGGACAGACGAAAACAAACAAUAAUCCCCGUGUCCUCGCAGUGAGGCUCGCACCGCCCAGCAUCCUUGGAAACAGAGUGAGCGUCCAAAACCGGCGGCGACGCGCUCCCCGUUUCGCCGCUUUCCGCUCAUCUCGCGUAUAAAAACAUGGCGUCUCCCCUGACCACCACGCCUCCACCACCUCCGCAUCACUAGCAAGCGCAAGCGCCGCGCACUGUGACCGAGCGGAGGCGGAGGCGGAGUAGCCGGGUCGGGAACUCGGGAUGGCGAUCUGCGGGGCGAAGGCGGCGGCGCCGUCGCUGGUGGUGGCGGCGAGCAUGGGCGCCGUCGAGGCGCUCAAGGACCAGGCGGGCCUCUGCCGCUGGGACUACGCCCUCCGCUCCCUCUACCUCCGCGCCGCCGCCUCCUCGCCCAGGCUGCGUUCCCCCCUCUCCAACACCGCCGCCGCCGCCGCGCGGCCGCCGGCGGAGGAGGCCGCCGACGUGAGGCUGCGCAAGGUCCACCACCUCGUCUGCUGGGGCCCCAACUGAUUUAUAUUAUAUAUACUCAUCUCACAUCUUCCUGAAGAACAUAUGCCACUCGUCUCGUCGUCUUCCUCUGAUCUCUGUGCAGUGUAGUGCUCUUCUCUUCUCUUUUAGCUGUGUUGCAUCUCGAUCGAUCGCUUGCUUGAUUGCUCCAUCCUCCGUCUCUGUGAUCUGCAUGUUCAGUUUCGUGCAGAUUCGACCCGUUUGUGAAAAUGUUCUGCCGCUUACAUGUAUCUUCAUCCUUAUGCAUGGAGAUCUAGCUAGCCUCCUAUUCCCUCUGUUCCGAAAAUAAAAUCAACUUCGUACGAGAGUAGACUGGAGUCCUUGUAGCCCUCCAUUUUCUCAUUUACUAAUUUUGGAAAAAAAAAUCAGUACCAUCUUGAGAUCUUGAGACUGGACUUAAAAAACCAAAUUAAAGAGAAAGAGAAUAUGUUAGUUAAUUGCAUGGAUAUAUACAUGCUUGUAUUAUAAGACAUCUGAAAAAAUAGUUACGUCUUAUGUUUAUGUUUUGAGAUGAAAGGAGUACUAAUCAAGUCAAGAGCGCCUUAAUUUCAGUUUUGUCAUGUCUAAUUACCAAAUCGAGAUGACAGUAUUUGAAGACAAGAAGGGAUGUGAUAAAGCUACAAACCUGGGACAAGAACGCAUCUUGUGAGAGUGAAGAGAGCUAACUUACCAAAUGCAUCCCUGCAUCCAUCCCCUGGUUCUCAUAUGAACUUUGUCGAAUCUACAAUGAGAAUUGAAAACUAAUAGUACUAUAAGAUUUAUGGAUAUGGAUAUGGAUUGUGUGUGCAUCUGAUGAACUAGCACAAACUAAUUAAUUUCCCCUCAGAGAGAGCAAAGGCGUGAUUGGGUGCAGUGCUGGUGAACCUUUGAGCCAGUUUCAGACUUUCUUGCUAAUUAAUUUAGCCGGCCGGCAGGUUCAUCAACGCUGCACUCAAUAAUGCCUUCCCUUCUCUUCCAUCACCCAUCGAUCUCAUCAUGAAUCUGCCAAUAUUCCUAGCUCUAAAUCUCUAAUCCCAGGAACAGGAUGCAUCACUUGGCUAGGCAGCUUCCAUGCUUGUGCGUGUGUAGCUGCAUCUGCACUGCAUUUGUGUGUGUGUGUGUUGCUUUUCAGACAGGUCACCUCCUCCUUUUGUACUACUGCAUCUGCACCGUGCCUAACGGUGUUGCUUGUACUACCAUGGGAUGCAGCAGCAUCCUCGGAUUGUACUAAUUUCUAUGUGUUGUACUUUGUCACGUCCUGAUCGAUCAGGUAGUACGUACUACUAAUUCAGAGUUCAGACUUUAGAUGAGCUCUCUAAAAUUCCACAUACAUGUAAUACUUGACAGAAAAAUGGGAUUUUUCUUAUGAGUGCAGCAUUUUUCAGAACAAAAGAAUCAUGCAUACGCUUCUCUCCAAUAAUUCAGAGUUGUGGAGAUGAUUUGACCAAUACAACGAUGAAGUUUUAGGCAGGCAGUACAGCAUGACCGUGACCGUCCUGAACCUGGGCGGACACGGCAAGUACAGACUAUAGAGCAGUACAACUACAAACUGUACUGCAUUACAAUUUGCAAGUUCAGAAUAUGAGUGCCUGUCCUUUUCUGAUUAAAGAUGAUUUUAUCUCGGUUUCUGUUAGCAAGCUUUUUAAACUACUAAACAAUGUAUUUUGUACGAUAACUUUCCAUAUAUACGUUGUUUUAAAAUAUCAAAUAUAUUCAUCUGUCAAAUUUGUAGUAAUUGGAACUUAACUAAUCAUGCUUCCGUUUUACAUGCGCUAACUAAUCUUUAUCAAUAAUCUCUUUGAUAGUGCUAGUAGCCUAGUACUAAUACUUUGUCAAGCAGUGUCGCAAACGAACACGUAAAACUAUGAAUACGAUAGUAGGAGUACAGAAUAAUGUGGUACUCGCUGCAUUGAAGUUUCGGGUUUGUAUAGGCUAAACUUCUUCAAAUUUGACCACGAUCACAAAAUAUAUAGUCUCUUCUAGAAGACGUUUUGACUUUGGUCAAAGUCAAACCACUUUAACUUUGAUCAAGUUUGUAGAGAAAAGUAGUACUAAUAUUUUCAACCCAAGACAAAUUUAUUAUGAAAAAUAUAUUCAAUUAUUGAUUUGAUGAAACUAAUUUAGUAUUAUAAAUAUUAUUAUAUUUAUAUAUAAACUUAGUUAAAUUUGAAAUAGUUUGACUUUGACCAAAGUCAAAACGUUUUAUAACCUGAAACGGAGGGAGUACUAUAUAGCAGCAUCUAACCACACCGAAUUAGUUUCAUCAAAUCCACAAUUGAAUACAUUUUUAUUGUGUAUUUGUUUUGUGUUGAAAAUGCUGCUAUAUCUUUCUAUAAAGUUAUCAAACUAAAAAGUAGUUCGACUCCAAAUUUCAAAUUCUAUAUAGAAGUUUAAUAAAAGGAAAUAAAUCUAUUUUUCAAAUUUAUAAUAGUUAAUAUUUAAUUAAUCAUGUGCCAGUGAGAUUAUUUUGCUUCGCGUGUAGUACAAAUCUUCCUCAUCCAGGAGGAAUUAGCUCCAAAGACCUUCUUUUCUUUUCUUCCCACAGAAAAGUUAGCUCUACAGAUUUCAGAACUGCGGAUUUGCAGUAUACCUCAGUCUUGGGUCCAGUACACAGAAAUGAUAAAUAACUACAACUCCAAAUUUGAAUGUGCAAACAUCUCGCUAUUGCCACCAGGGCAUGGAAGAUGCAGAAUUGGUGAGCUUGUACUUAUCUGUUGAGAAUUUACACGAAUUUCCUUUCAACAAAUAAAAACAGCCGUAUGCUAAAGUAGGCUUCUGAACAAUAUACUAGUUUUAAAGUUUCAGAUUAUCUGUAUACUAUGGUCCAAAUACAAAUCGUGCCCAUUGUAAUCAGGAUGUUUCAAGUACUUACAAAUAGUCCCAAUAUCAGAACGAAUCCAGAAGGGGAAAAGAAAAUUCUCAAACGUUAUUAUUGACAAUUGAUAUCUCUGGCAUGGAAGUGUCAGCAGCACCCAGCACAGCCAAAGAAAGUAACUAAAACUAAAAAGGCUGCUAGUUCAUCUAAAAAAAAGACUGCGAGUUGCCCUCAAAAAGGGGGAAAAAGGACUGUUAGUUGAAAGGUAAGUUAUAGAUGGCCAGAAGCUAAUGGUGCAUCAUUUGAACACCUCACAUAGCAAAGAAAUUCCUUUUGAUGCACCAGAAGAUGAUCCUGUUUCACUGUUUGGCACAUAUAUGAACAUACACUGUCACUUAGAUCCUAAAAUUAUGCAUGAAUGAUAAACAUGAAGAAUUAGACUAUGAUGCUGAAUCCUAGUGAGAUUUGGUACCCAGAAUUUGCCCAGAUAUUUGUUUGUAUGUGAAGAGGUCUUGAUGACAAAAGGUUAAUCACAUUACAAUAAUUAUCUACUUCCUAGGCCGCCUUCGCCAUCAACAAUCUACAAAUAUGGUAUCGGUUGCAUGCAAAAAUUUACAUUUGGACUGGCCAACAUCGUUGGUUACACUGAAACAAACUCCUGUAGUGCACAGUUGCUUGACUCAUAUAUACAUGUUCCAAAAUUGACUCAUAUAUACUUUGUAUCCUUAGUAAAAAUGGAAUAUACAAUUAUCAGAAGAAAUACUGAAAUGUAAAGAAGCUAGGGAACAAAAAAAUUAAGCCAAAUGGUACGAAAUGGAGAAACUAGAACAGGGUAAACCUGAACAACGAUCCAAUGUAUGUGAACAAGUUGUGACUCUGGCCUCUGAUGGAACAAGCUCUGCAGCUGAAGUUGUAUUGUAAACCUGGUCGUGGUAUUUGCAACUGGUCACAUGUUUUACAGGCGGCAACUGCGUUGGCAGCCUGUCCUGGCUUUUGUCGGCAAUGUAGCGGAUUAAUUAGCCCUGUGGCUGCUGUGAUGGUAAACGUGACGGCUGCUGCUCUCCUUGCAUUCCUUGCAUAGAUUGCUCAGGUUGCUGGUGCUGACCUCCUUGCCAUGCCCAAACUAUAUCCUUAAGUGCAGGCCUUAUAUCUUCCUUCAUGAGCUUUUGAUAUUCUAUAGUGUCCCCAUUGGACUUUUUAAAUUCAACUAAAUGGAAAGAUGGAGCAAGCUCAAAAACCUCAGCAUCAAGCUCAAGUAAUCCUUUUAUUCCUUCCUUUGGUGCUACCAACCUCAGAACCCCAUUUUCUUUUUUCUUAAUUUUGAGCUUGAAGCGUCUGGCCAAUUCAUUUAGCUUAGCAAAUAUAGCUGCCGCCGGUUGCCUAGUGGUAAAUCUCUCUUCCCUCCGGCCAUAUCUUUCUUCAAACAAAUUGGAUAAGUCAAACCCGGUAGACAGAGAAAUGAUGUCAAACGCGUUCAAGUUCGGGAGGCUUAAUGAAGCUUGCUUUCCAUCGGAAUUACUACAUUCUGGUGAGUCAGAGGUUGUGGCUUCACCAUUAGUGUACACUUUGUCUCUUGAUGACGCACGAUUUCCCUCAAAAAUACUGCAUUCUGUUGUGUCAGAGGUUGUGGCUUCACCCUUAUACACCUUGUCUCCUGUUUCAUGUUUGCUCUUCAGUGCAUUUACAUCACUGGAUUUUCUGUACCAAGCGCUUCUCUUUAUCUUCGGGAUAGAAAUUCUAGUACUUGGAUCUGGAUCAAGUAUCUUAUAUAGCAGAUCCUUCAACUCAGCAGAAAAGGAACGAGGGCAUUUGUAUUCAGCUUUGGCAAUCUUUCUAUACAUCUCUAUAAGAUUUGUGUCAUGGAAAGGAAGGUAGCCAGAUACAAGCACAAACAGAAUUACUCCACAAGACCAUAUAUCAGCCUUCGCACCGUCGUAGCCUCUCCUACUAAGAACUUCAGGAGCAACAUAAGCUGGAGUUCCACAGGUGGUAUGAAGGAGGCCAUCAUGUCUCUUGGACUCAGAAAGGGCACUUAAACCAAAAUCCGAGACUUUUAAGCUCUCAUUCUCAUCUAGAAGUAGGUUUUCUGGCUUCAAAUCACGGUGAUAAACACCCCGGCUGUGGCAGUAGUCUAUACCACUGAUCAACUGAUGGAAAUACCGCCUCGCAACAUCUUCACUGAACUUUCCCUUGGAUAUUUUCUUGAAAAGUUCACCGCCUUUAGCAUACUCCAAAACAAAGUAAAUUUUGCUCUUGCUUGCCAUCACCUCAAAAAGCUGAAGAAUGUUUGGAUGCUUUACUAAUCUCAUUAUUGAAAUCUCCCUCUUUAUCUGCACCAUUAGCCCAACCCUUGUUACCUUCUCCUUAUCAAUCAUCUUUAUUGCAACGGCCUGUCCGCUUGUGAGAUUCCGAGCAUAAUAUACCUUGGCAAAAUUUCCCUGUCCUAACUGCCUACCUAUUUCAUAGCGAUCCAUCAAAAUUGUCCUCCUGUCAUCCAUUGUAGCAAUCUAUUUCAAGAAAAUCCUCUAGGCACUACUUAUAGAACAAUAUAUUUCAAAAGGGAGGGCUUAUAAAUGACUAAAUGAACACUAUCACCACCAAGGUCGUGUCCAUCAAAGAUAUAAUGCCACGAUCUUCAGUGGUUCAGAGACCAGGGUACAGAAAAAAUCAUUAUAACAGCAUGCAGGCACUGCUCUUAUUUGAACUCAACCGGACAGUUGGUGCAAAGCUUUCCGGUGCACUAGCACACAAUUCGGCCUUUUCAAGGACAAAUAUCUUCUAGUGUCACCUGUUGAAAACAAAACGGAGAACGAACAAACUGAAUCAGGGCAAACAUAUAAUGUGAAUGUAGAUCCAAUCAUCCAAAGGUAAAUCAAAUUGAAAACAAUAAUUCACUGUAAAUGCGCAUUCACAUUCCCUUUUUUUUAUACGCAAGGAGCGCAUCUUUGUAUUAAAGAGUAAAAUUAUUUAUAGGCACAUUCCCAAAGUUAGGAUAGCAUUACGAAUUUAGUAAAAAAAUUGCAGGAUUCCCCAUUUCACUAUGAUUUUGAAUACCCACCAAGCAUUCCUUGUAAGAAACCUAAAAUCACACCAAACAAAACAUACUCCAAAACGACAAAAUGACAAGUACUACAAACUAAGCAGUGAUUCAUCCUAAAAAGGUAGAUCACACGACGAUUGAUCUAGUGUUCUAGGACUUCAGGCUACUCCGAUAAAGGAAUCAACAAAUAAAAACCUGCAGAAUCCAUUCAUUCAUCAAUCCCCGGUAGCAGAGCAAUCCAUCAUACUAGGGCGAACACCCAGCUCCCCAAACCCUACCUCACCGGGACACAGAGCUACAAAUCCAGCCAUAAACCAAUCAAACUAACAAGCAAUUUACCCUUCUCAGGCCUUAGCCGCAGAGAUCACAACCACAAAUAACCUAACCAAACCAAGAAACCGCAGGGAGCACAACAUCAGCUGCAGAUCUCUUUGCGGCCACAUCAAAAACAACCAAGCAAUCACCAAGGCUGAUACUACCAACCUGAGAUGAACUGGCCGCGGAGGAGAGGCGGGGAUCCCGAAUACUCAGGUGAAGUCUGCUCCAAUCCAAGCCGGCGCAGCCACAGCGCAGCCGCCCUGCGCUUUGACCUAUUUGCAAGCACAGCCUAUUAAUAUUUUAAUUAAUUUUUAAUUACCUUUUUUUGGUUAUUUUAGUAGAGGAGUGGCAUCUCCGCUCCGCGUCGCAGCCACAUGCUCUGAUGCCUCCAGAGCACAGUCCACGUUCGCACGGCAGCUCAGCUCUAAGCAGCGCAACGCGUCAUCACGCCGCCCGGUGGGCCCCACAGCCGCCACGGGCCUGGUUGGUGGGCCGUAGCCCACGUGGGCCCACCGGCGGCAAGGUGGGCUUUCUCCUCGUGGCCCAACUGGCGGUGGUGGGCGGCGGAUGGCGGAGGCUGGCGGCGGCGGCGUAACAGAAGGAGAAGGUGGCGGCGGUGGGUGCGGGAGGCGGCGGUGGAACCGGCGGCGCCCCCCAACGGCGGCGCACCCACGGCGGCGUCGGCGGCGCACCCCACGGCGGACCAACGGCAGUUGGCGGCGGCGAUAUGCACGGCGGCGGCGGCGGCGGAAAUCUCGCUGGGGCGGUUAGGAUUCUAACCCUAACCCGCCCCCUCCCCCACCUUUUUGCCUGCCGGCCAAAUUGGGCCGGCCUAGUACUGUUCGGUGGUGGGCUGAAACCUAUAGUUUCGGCCCACCACCCAAUUUACCCUUUUUUUGUUUUAAAUUUUUAUUUUUAGCAGCCAUUACACUUUAGUCCCUAUGUUUUAUGCAAUUUAAUAGAAACAGUUCAUCAGUUGUUCACAUUAUUAUGUAAUGGUCCUAUAGAUCACUGAUGUUAUGUGUUAAUUAACAUAGAUGUUUAUUCAAAUACCCCGUUUCACUAAAUUUAUUUGUUGUCUUAAUAACAUGCCUUUUGCAUAUUAUUUCAAGACACACUCUACUUUCUCGCUUCAUUAAUUUAUAAAAUUCUAUAAAUUUUGUACUUUGAUUUAGCAAAUUCUCUUAAUUAUGUGCAACAUGAUUAAUGGAGGAUUUAAUGCAUGUUCCACUUCACAUUUUGACUCGGAAAUUAAUCACAUGUAGAUGGAGUCCUAUACUUUGGUCAUCACGACCAUAAUUUAGGCAGCGAGUAUCUUGCUCAUCAUCAAGUGGUCUACAUUUUGAGAUGAUUACCCGAUGGAGCCCUACAAAUUGGCCGCACUGGUUAUAACCUAGGCAGCGAGCAUCUCGCUCAUCUCACAGAGGUUUACAUCUCAUGAUGAUUACCCACAUGUGUUAUUUUCCGAGCAUAUGUUUUGAAAAAUGAGAUUAUUUGAAAUUUGAUUGAACACAAGGUAGUGGAGUCCUAAACAUUGGCUGCGGUAUAUUCACCAGAAUAUAUUUGCCUGGAGACCAUGUUUUAGGCAGCAAGUAUAACUUGCCCACUAUUAAGAGAUCUACUCCACUGUUUAAUUACUUGGAGAUUAUCCACAUUGUGCCACCUAAUUUCAAAUCCUAACUCAAAUUGUCAGGUCUAUAACCUACAUCUUUUCGAAACAUUACAAGAUAUGAAGUUUUACAUUUCGCAUUGAGAUUACAACCUCAAUAUCAUGUUUUUAUUAAUUUACCUCUGUAAAUUAAUAGUGUUAAUCAUGAUUAUAGGGACACGGCAACUAUAGAGUUCACCGAACUCGCCCUCGAUGGGAGUAACUACCCAAUUUGGGCUUCUGAUAUCAAAAUAAAUUUUUCUUCUAGUGGGAUUUCACAUACAGAUUAAGAACCCAAUGAUUGGGAUCCACCAGUUGAGAACAGAAAACUAUAUAUUACCUUUUUCCUUCUGAGGUUCUAUAUCUAUAAAGAUCUCAAAUAUGAGUACAUGUUGGAGACGAGCCCUCUCAACCUAUGGAAAGCUCUAAUAGAGCGUUAUGAUCAGCAAAAGGAACUCAUUUGGCCAGAGGCUAAUUAUGAGUGGAUUCAUUUACGCCUACAGGAUUUUAAACUGUGGCCGAAUACAAUCAUGUUGUACAUAACAUUUGCUCCAAGUUGAUAUUUUGCGAUAAGAGCCAACGGAAGCAGAGAAGAUAGAGAAAACUCUAUCAACUAUGUUUCCAGAGGACAAGAUAUUGAACCAAUAGUAUCGCACUAAAAGGAUUUAAGGGAAAUUCCUCGAAUACCCCUACGAAUCUGACUGGAAAACGCAAACGCAACAACAGGCGCAAAUCCAAUGGUCGACAGAAAGGAAAUAGGAAGGGUAAGGCACCACAACCUCGUGGCAAUAGCAACAUGCAUUGCAACAGGUGUGUAUCUGACUAUCAUGUCACUAAAGAUUGCCGCAUCUCAAAAACAUCUUGUUCUCCUGUAUCAGAAAUCCCUAAAGGAGAAAAAGUCUUCUGAGGAACUAAGAUUUGAAGCUCACUUCAAUCUUACAAAAGAAAGACCUGAGGUUGAAAGUUCUCACUAGGCUCCUAUUGAACCAGAGAACACCCUCGUUCUUCUCCCAGAGGAUACCACUGCGCUUUCUGCAAUAGAUGAUAUGCUCAUCGAAUACUGCUCAACGGACCCACUUAGAGAUUUAUUGUAAUCUCAGUGCGUCCCACUUAGAGAUAAAGCUGCUUUAAUCUCAGUGUGUUUAAGACAUUAUAUUGAUAUCCUAUAGUUUGUCAAAACAAUAUUGGUUGUAAUAAGUAGAUAAGUACAAACUCCCUUAUAUUAUAAAGUUGUAAGACUUGAUAGUCAUUAGAGUAUGUACUAUUAACCUAUGUAAACGUCAUACUAUGUAUCUGAUGUUUUCAUUAUUGUAUGUAUGUAUAUAUUGUGGAUAAAGAAUUCUUCACUAAGCAAUUCUUCUUUCACUAUAGAUGUCUAAGGAUAUCGCUCUGAAAUUGUCCUUCUCUCAUCCAUUGUAGCAAUCUAUAUCAAGAAAAUCCUCUAGGCACUACUUAUAGAACAAUAUAUUUCAAAAGGGAGAGCUUAUAAAUGACUAAAUGAACACUAUCACCACCAAGGUCGUGUCCAUAAAAGAUAUAAUGCCCCGAUCUUCAGUGGUUCAGAAACCAGGGUACAGAAAAAAAUCAUUAUAACAGCAUGCAGGCACUGCUCUUAUUUGAACUCAACGGGACAGUUGGAGCAAAGCUUUCCGGUGCACUAGCACAUAAUUUGGCUUUUUCAAGGACAAAUAUCUUCUAGUGUUACCUGUUGAAAACAAAACAGAAAAUGAACAAACCGAAUCAGGGCAAACAUAUAACGCAAAUGUAGAUCCAAUCGUCCAAAGGUAACCUAAAUUGAAAACAAUAAUUCACUGUAAAUGCGCAUUCACAUUUCUUUUUUUAUAUAUGCAAGGAGCGUAUCUUUAUAUUAAGGAGUAAUAAAAGUUAUUUACAGGCACAUUCCCAAAUUUAGGAUAGCAUUACGAAUUUAGUAAAAAAAAUUCAGGAUUCCCCAUUUCACUAUACUUUGAAUACCCACCAAGCAUUCCUGGUAAGAAACAUAAAAUCACACCAAACAAAACAUACUCCAAAAUGACAAGGACUACGAAACUAAGCAGUGAUUCAUCCCAAGAAGGUCGAUCACACGACGAUUGAUCUGGUGUUCUAGGAAUCUAGGCUACUCCUAUAAAGGAAUCAACAAAGAAAAACCUGCAGAAUCCAUUCAUUUAUCAAUCCCUGGUAGAACCCGUCAUACUAGGGCGAACACCCAGCUCCCCAAACCCUACCUCACCGUGACACAGAGCUACAAAUCCAGCCAUAAACCAAUCAAACAAGCAAACAAUUUACCCCUAUUAGGCCUUAACCGCAGAGAUCAUAGCCAUGAUUAACCUAACCAAACCAAUAAACCGCAUAAGCACCGCAUCAGCAGCGGAUCUCUUUGCGGCCACAUGAAAAACAACCAAGCAAUCACCAAGGCUAAUACUACCAACCUGAUCGAGAUGAACUGGCCGCGGAGGAGAGGCGGGGAUCCCGAAUACUCAGGUGAAGUCUGCUCCAAUCCAAGCCGGCGUAGCCACAGCGCAGCCGCCCUGGGCUUUGACCUCUUUGCAAGCACAGUUCUAUUAGUAUUUUAAUUAUUUUUUAAUUACCUUUUUUGGGUUAUUUUAGUAGAGGAGUGGCAUCUCCGCUCCGCGUCGCAGCCACAUUCUCUGAUGCCUCCAGAGCACAGUCCACGUUCGCAUGGCAGCUCAGCUCACAGCAGCGCAACGCGUCGUGCCGCCCGGUGGGCCCCACCGCCGCCACGGGCCUGGUUGGUGGGCCGUAGCCCACGUGAGGCCCACCGGCGGCAAGGUGGGCUUUCUCCUCGUGGCACAAAAGUCAGUGUGUGGCCGUGGCGAGGCCGGCGGAGGCAGCGGCGGCGGAGGAGGAGGUCGUCGUCGCCGGCAGCUCAGCUCAGCUCACAGCAGCGCAACGUGUCAUGCCGCCCGGUGGGCCCCGCCCCCGCCACGAGCCUGGUGGGUGGGCCGUAGCCCACGUGGGCCCAAUUGACAAGGUGGGCUUUCUCCUCGUGGCCCACAAGUCGGUGUGCAGCGGCGGCGAGGCUGGCGGCGGCGGAGGAGGAGGUCGUCGCCGGCGGCCGCGCGGUGACGGGUGCAGUGAAGUUCGGCGCGAAACCUCAAGAGCACCGCAUUUUCUACGCUUUUUCUUUGUUUUUUUUUUUGGCUCGAGUGCGCCUUCGCCGAACAGAUAAAGGCCACGUCUUUUCUUUUGCUUUCUCCUCUCCAAGCGAAGCCACUGCUUCUACUGCGUCGACUUGGAAUUUUGCCGAAUCUUUUUUUCCUAUGCAUUUGGCAAGACCAAGAAAACAAAAAGAAAAGAGAUUAUUAAUCAUGGCGACACGAAUGGAAAUGGUUAAUAAUCGCAUUGAAAUCUAAAUCCGAUCCUACUAAAGAAUUAAUUAAAAAAUAGGAGUACUAAUAAUGGGCAUAGAUAGAGGGAGACCUCACUCUCAGCAUAAAAAAAUUCCAUCUUUGCAGGCAGACGCAGGUGCACUUGCUUCAGUCACCACCUCCUCUUCUCCUUUGCCGACUCCUGAGCCAUCAGUGUGGCCUAACUCGUGUGACUUUCAAAGUAAGAGUAUCUACGACUUCGAUUCUUUUAUUGCCUUUCUGAUUAAUGAAUAGUGGUAAACGAAGCAAUAGGAUUUGACUCCUGGAGAAGGAGAAGCUAAGAUAGCACUGAGCUCUUUCUAGAUACACAUCCUUCUCCGCGGCCAUUUCUUGGAGCAAAUCUCAUUUUGCACAGCCCCAAAGAUUUCUUCAUCUUUGAAGGCAAAAAAAAAGAUGGUCCUUUUUCGAGGGAAAUAGGGGGGAAGAUGGCUAUGAAGAGAGUGGUGUUUCUGUUGCUGCUUGUGGCGGCAUCUGCAUUGGUGAAGUCGUCAAGAGGAGGAGGAGGAGGGGAGGAGAAGUUGGGGAAGUUCUAUGGAUGGCGGCGCCAUCUUUCUUCUGGACCAGCUGCCUCUUCGUUGGUUCUCAGUGGGGAUCUCGUAAGGCGUCCAUAAACCUUCUCCUUUGCAUGCUAGAUAGAAGUAAUCGAUUCAAUAGCUCUAGUUUACUUUGCUUGAUUUGGACUUGUUAUCUGCCAAGAACUUCGAAUAUGACUUCCAUUUUGUCUUCUUGAAAGUGAGGCAUUCAGGCCUUUUUUGUUAUUUACCGUUGUUAUGUUUAGUAUAUUUCGUUAUAACAGAAAUAUGACUGAUUGUUUCUUGAUCUUUAUUGUGCUCACUUUAGUCAAUCAGGAUGAGCAGUAAAUUUUACUUAGUUCAUAUAUAUUAUAUGAGAACAAUUUAACAGAUAGCUUGAUGCAUUAACAAAUAAUCCUUACUGUGAUGCAGGUAGACAAAAUAUGGUCAGUUUGCUUACAAGACAUAGUUAGCCCAGAGGAUACAUUUGGCUUUGGGGAAUCAUUUGCCUGGGAUGAGUUAUCGAGUCAUUCCACGGAAGAUGAACUGAAGGCAACACUGUUCAUGGAACUUAUGGCUCUUCUUCCACCUGAGAAAUCUUCUUUUACUUAUGAUUGUAUCCGUGCAAACUGCUUCAGCCUGGGUGUUCCACAAAUAUUCAGUGUUGCACUGAGCAACUAUCUUGAGAGCCAGAAAUCAUUGGUCGGUUCAAACUUCUAUCCGAGACGGCGUUUGGUAGAUAAACUGAUCGGAGAUGCUCCUUCCAUGGCUCCAGCUUUCGCACCAUCCAUGUCCUCUGGCGGUGAAGUUCACUCUCCCCUCUCUGUGGCGGAGGCACCACUUACACCUUCCAACUCUCUGAACAUGGAACCUCCCAGCCCAUAUUAUCCCAGUAAAUCUGCACACAAGCAUCAGGGAGUGGCACCUCCAGUUUCACCUUCAGAGGAGUAUCAUGACUACAUGAAAGUAGUCUUGAUCGCUGUUCUUCCAACAGCCGCACUCUCAUUCCUAGCUGCAUUUCUAUGUUUCUACUGCUGUGGAUGCAACAAAAGCAAGGUCUCGGUUGGCGAGCAACGAGAUGACCAUCCUCUUCUUCACUUGCAGUUCUCUAACUUGCCUGGUGAGGAUACAUCCCUUCUAUCAACAUGGUAGAUUAUUAUUGGUAUGGUAGUAUAUCAUCUAUCAUUUGAAUGGCAGGUUCGUCACCUGAUGUGCAUGUUCCUGCCAGCCCGCUUCAUAAGGAUGAUCAUGGGGUUAGGCCAUCCAAUGCUGGUGUAAGCAUGAGCAAGUGCUUUCCAUGUUGUUUUAAAACCUCAAGUGAUGCCACAACACCUACACUAGUAACUGGAGGAACACAGGAGAACAAUGCCACAAGUGAUGCCCCUAAACUGAUGCCUCCGCCACCCCCACCUCCUCCACCUCCACCUCCACCUCCCCCUCCACCUCCUCCGCGUCCACCUCCUCCGCCUCCACCUAUCAAGAAGGGUGCUCCACCACCUGCACCUCCUAAAGCCACCAUGGCAAGAUUUCCUAAGCUGUCACCUACAGAGUCAAGUCGUUCUGAAGAGUCAUCUGCAAGCGAGCUGGCCAGUGAAUCGUCUGAAACUGAGGUGAAUGCUCCAAGAGCCAAGCUCCGGCCUUUCUAUUGGGAUAAAGUUCUUGCUAAUCCUGAUCAGUCAAUGGCCUGGCAUGACAUCAAAUUUGGUUCUUUUCAGUAAGUUUUUAAAUUUAGCAAUGGCAUGUAUUCUAAGUUCAUUUAGGCUUGCAACUGACGACUGCAUUCUGCAGUGUGAACGAGGAGAUGAUAGAAGAAUUGUUUGGUUAUGGUGCUGGCAACCAAAACAAUGUCAAGGACAAGGAAAUUUCCAUUGCAGAUCCUUCACCUCAGCAUGUUUCUCUUCUUGAUGUUAAGAAAUCAUGCAAUCUGGCAGUUGUUUUUAAGGCAAUGAAUGUGAGGGCAGAGGAAAUUCAUGAUGCUCUGGUUGAAGGUAGUUGAACUAUUGCAUAUAUUUACAUGCAGCCUACUUACCCAUUUGCCAAAAAAAAAAAAAGCUCCUAAAGUUUCCAUUAUCGCUGUAAAUACAAUAUGUUUGCACCGCCAAAGAUAACAUUGCACUUAUAAAUGAGCCUUUUGAAAAAAUGGAAUGCUCGUUGCAUUCUAUUUAACUGAUACAAGAAUUCGACUGCAACUAUAGCAAGUUUACUUAUUAAACUAUAUACUGUGCAUUUCUAAGCACAUGUAUUUGUGGCCAUCCUCUUUUAGUUUCUUGUCUGUCUUUGUGAUUGUGGCCCAUCUCAUUUCAUAUCAGGCAAUCACAGUGAAAACAUGUUUCAUAUUGUGUAUGCAUUGGUCAUUUACUAUAUCAUAUGUUCUCUUGUUCACUAGAUGUAGCUGUUGAGGUCUAAGUAGUACACACAAAGUUGAUGCUGUGCUGGUUCACUUCAAUAUACUUCUGACAUUGUCUUCUGUCACAUUAUGUUAUGAAGGGAAUGAACUUCCUAGAUUACUUCUUGAGACAAUCUUGAGGAUGAAACCGACUGAUGAGGAGGAACAGAAACUCAGGCUUUAUAAUGGGGACUGCUCGCAGCUAGGCCUAGCAGAACAAGUGAUGAAGGCACUAAUUGAUAUUCCUUUUGCUUUCGAGAGGAUUAGAGCUUUGCUUUUCAUGUCCUCUUUGCAGGAAGAUGCUUCAAGUCUAAGGGAAUCAUUCCUCCAAUUGGAGGUAAUCCAUCUGAAAGUAGUUGACUUCUGUAUUAAAUCUGCGAAGUAUUCCAACCUUUUUUCUCCAAGUGUUCAGUUUUUUAUCUGUUUGUGCCAGGCUGCUUGCGGUGAACUCAAGCACCGCCUUUUUCUGAAACUACUAGAAGCCAUUCUCAAAACUGGAAAUCGUUUGAAUGAUGGGACGUUCCGUGGUGGUGCUAACGCGUUCAAACUUGACACUCUUCUUAAGUUAUCAGAUGUCAAGGGAGCUGAUGGGAAGACCACAUUGCUGCACUUUGUUGUUCAAGAGAUCAUUCGAUCUGAAGGUGUUCGCGAAGCAAGACUCGCCAUGGAAAAUGGAAGAAGUCCACCAUUUCCUAGUACUUCGGAUGACAAUUCCAAUGAAUCUCUACAGGAGGAUGGCAAUUACUACUCCAACCUUGGCCUUAAGAUUGUAUCAGGGCUUAGUAAUGAGCUGGACAAUGUCAAGAGAGUAGCAGCACUGGAUGCUGAUGCUUUGUCUACAAGUGUGGCAAAUCUGCGACACGAAUUAUUGAGAGCCAAAGAAUUCCUGAACUCCGACAUGGCAUCGCUAGAAGAGAACAGUGGAUUCCACCGCUCGUUAGAAAGUUUCAUAGAACAUGCAGAGACUGAGACCAAUUUUCUCCUGAAAGAAGACAAGAGAUUGAGGAUGUUAGUGAAGAGAACGAUUCGAUAUUUCCAUGGAAAUGAUGAGAAAGAUGACGGUUUUCGCCUGUUCGUCAUUGUAAGAGAUUUUCUGGUGAUGCUAGAUAAGGCAUGCAAGGAGGUUGGUGCUUCACAAAAGAAGGCAACAAAUAAAUCUCAAGCCAAUGGCAACUCUAAUAACCCAUCAUCCCAGUCAAAUCCUCAGGAGCAACAGUUUCCUGCUGUUUUGGAUCAUCAUUUUGAUAGCUCAGACUCUAAUGAUUGAAGAUAGAUACAAUCUUAGAUACUAAGAUACAUACAUUAUGUUAGAUAUUUUAUAUUUUUUCGCCCGAGACCAUGUAAAAAGUCCCAUUUGCAGAGGCAUUGUUCAUACAUAAUCACAUUCACAUAGAUAGAUUUGAAACUUCAUACAUGCUAUUAUGCUAUAACAUUCAGUAUCAAAUCUGAAGUUCUGAACUCAGCCUAUCGUUAGAUUCUAUUUUCUUUGGUAAGAGUAUUCAUAUCCCGACCCCUCCCCACAUGUGUCAUUUCCCAGAUAUUUUUAUUUUAUUUUUAAAGUCAAACCUUUUCUUUUCAUUUUUUGAAAGCCAAAACAUUUUCAACCGUGUGAUGGAAACCAAAACCUUCAGCACCCUAAAGACGAAAAAAUAAUUAGUAGGAUAUGGUAUAUUUCAGAAAACUGGAUCUAUUUUAUCAAUCUAUCACUUUGCUACAAUGUUAUCCACGUAUUUUAAAGAAUUGCAAUAUUAGUGUAUGGUUUUAUCAAAAAGAAAGAUACAACUUAAUUUGUGUGACAAGUUUAAGUCCACAUACACUGUCCAUUAUAAAUUGGGUAUAUGUCAUACUAGAAAUGUGGUCCCGUGACCAUGGUAGGUUUUUACUCUUUUAGUAGCUUUAUAUAGUCCAGUUCUUAUAAUCAUGUGUAUAGUGUUGGGCAAAACUAUAUCCCAUCAGGUAGAUGAGUUUGGGUCCAUUCUAUGAGCACCCGUCCCGUCUACCAUGGGUAAAAAACACUCGUAGAUCUAGCGAAAAAAAAUUACAGUGGCCUAAGACCAAAUCUUAGUAUGAAAUCAUCUCACCUAACCACCUAUCAAUCCUACCAAUAUUCUCCAUUGCCACACAAACCGCAAGUAAAAGGCAGUGCUCGUGGUGGCGGCUAGAACCACUCAUGACUCAUUAUGCUCGUGAGUUGCUAUGCGACCAAGACAAGACAAGGGAGGUAGCGGGGCUCAUGCGGUUAUAGGGGGUAGGGAAAACGGGAUUGAGGAGUCACACUCUCAUCACAUCUCUAGUCUCCUUCACAUCAGUCUCUUACCAUUUCCCAUUCCAAUCGGUGGUGGAUCCAGGUACGGAGGAAAUCUUGUACCCAUGACAAUUGUGGGUGUUAGAGCAAAAUGUUUUGACUUGCAUAGGUGUGUGCGGGGUAUUAGAACUGGCGGGUGUAUUUGCUAUAUUUAGUCUUACACACAUAGGGGAUAAAUUAGUAGUUAUAUGAUAAAUUCCGUUGCUAAAGUUACAAUUUUAUGAAAAAUAGCCAGCUAAAGUUAUACAAAGUGAUGGUGUUUGCCAAAGGGAGUAUCUAAAGAAUUGCCACAAAUUUUUUGAGUCAAAAACUUUCAGAUAUAACAACUUAUAUAAAACUUGCAUUCAACUAUGGUUUAGUUAGCUAAUAUUGGGAUCUUACGUGUGAUAUGUGUGAAAUUUUUUUUCCUUCAUGCACAAAUCGUAGGACGAUCCGAUGGUCACAAAUUUGGAAGUUUUGGGAGUAGUUAUUUUAGCAAAUCCGUUACCAAAUAAGGCUGUGUUCGGAGGAGGGGGUUGGGAACCCCUCCUCCUCGGCACGCAAAACAAAGUUCAUUUUAUUGCAUGAUCAAUUAAGUAUUAACUAUUUUUUUAAAUAGAUUAAUAUGAUUUUUUUAAACAACUUUCAUACAUAAAGUUUUUAUAUAAACCACACCGUUUAGCAGUUUGAAAAGCAUACGUACGGAAAACAAGAGAGGUGGGUUGGGAAAAUGGGGGAAGAACACAGCCUAAGCAGUUUUGUGAAAUUUUCUCGAUAAUAGGAUAAGAUCUUCUAGGAUGCACAAUCCUACCCGUCCAUUUCCGAUCGGACGGCACCGGUGACACCCAAGAGCAACCCAGGCCGCCUCCUCUCCCCCAAAACGCGCACUCGUGUGCUUUCGCCUUCCAUUCUCCAAACCCUCGCGGGAGAUCGGAAUUCCCCACCCCGGAGCGCCGGAUCCACCACCGAUCGUC